UACGUAGGGGGCGAGCGUUGUCCGGAUUUAUUGGGCGUAAAGAGCGUGUAGGCGGUUCGGUAAGUCUGUCGUGAAAUCCUGAGGCUCAACCUCGGGCGUGCGAUGGAUACUGCCGGGCUAGAGGGUGGUAGAGGCGAGUGGAAUUCCCGGUGUAGCGGUGAAAUGCGCAGAUAUCGGGAGGAACACCAGUAGCGAAGGCGGCUCGCUGGGCCACACCUGACGCUGAGACGCGAAAGCUAGGGGGGCGAACAGG
rnacentral:rRNA from 1 species